rnacentral:rRNA from 1 species
CCUACGGGGGGCAGCAGUGGGGAAUAUUGGACAAUGGGGGGACCCUGAUCCAGCCAUGCCGCGUGUGUGAAGAAGGCCCUCGGGUUGGAAAGCACUUUCAGUGAGGAAGAACGCCUGGUGGUUAAUACCCAUCAGGAAAGACAUCACUCACAGAAGAAGCACCGGCUAACUCCGUGCCAGCAGCCGCGGUAAUACGGAGGGUGCGAGCGUUAAUCGGAAUUACUGGGCGUAAAGCGCGCGUAGGUGGCUUGAUAAGCCGGUUGUGAAAGCCCCGGGCUCAACCUGGGAACGGCAUCCGGAACUGUCAAGCUAGAGUGCAGGAGAGGAAGGUAGAAUUCCCGGUGUAGCGGUGAAAUGCGUAGAGAUCGGGAGGAAUACCAGUGGCGAAGGCGGCCUUCUGGACUGACACUGACACUGAGGUGCGAAAGCGUGGGUAGCAAACAGGAUUAGAUACCCCUGUAGUC